GUGGCGAACGGGUGAGUAACACGUGAGUAACCUGCCCUUGACUCUGGGAUAAGCGUUGGAAACGACGUCUAAUACCGGAUACGACCAGCCCCGGCAUCGGGUGUUGGUGGAAAGAAUUUUGGUCAAGGAUGGACUCGCGGCCUAUCAGGUAGUUGGUGAGGUAAUGGCUCACCAAGCCUACGACGGGUAGCCGGCCUGAGAGGGUGACCGGCCACACUGGGACUGAGACACGGCCCAGACUCCUACGGGAGGCAGCAGUGGGGAAUAUUGCACAAUGGGCGAAAGCCUGAUGCAGCAACGCCGCGUGAGGGACGACGGCCUUCGGGUUGUAAACCUCUUUUAGCAGGGAAGAAGCGAAAGUGACGGUACCUGCAGAAAAAGCACCGGCUAACUACGUGCCAGCAGCCGCGGUAAUACGUAGGGUGCAAGCGUUGUCCGGAAUUAUUGGGCGUAAAGAGCUCGUAGGCGGUUUGUCGCGUCUGCUGUGAAAACCCGAGGCUCAACCUCGGGCCUGCAGUGGGUACGGGCAGACUAGAGUGCGGUAGGGGAGAUUGGAAUUCCUGGUGUAGCGGUGGAAU
rnacentral:rRNA from 1 species